CAGUCGCCGCGGUAAUACGUAGGUCCCGAGCGUUGUCCGGAUUUGUUGGGCGUAAAGCGAGCGCAGGCGGUUAGAUAAGUCUGAAGUUAAAGGCUGUGGCUUAACCAUAGUACGCUUUGGAAACUGUUUAACUUGAGUGCAGAAGGGGAGAGUGGAAUUCCAUGUGUAGCGGUGAAAUGCGUAGAUAUAUGGAGGAACACCGGUGGCGAAAGCGGCUCUCUGGUCUGUAACUGACGCUGAGGCUCGAAAGCGUGGGGAGCAAACAGGAUUAGAUACCCCCGUAGUCCCUGUCUCUUAUACA
rnacentral:rRNA from 1 species